UACGUAGGGCCCGAGCGUUAUCCGGUAUUAUUGGGCGUAAAGAGUGCGUAGGCGGUUGAGUAAGAUAAUGGUUAAAGCCCCGGGCUCAACUCGGGAACAGCCGUUAUUACUGCUCGACUAGUCGAUAGCAGGGGCAAGCAGAAUUCUCGGUGUAGGAGUGAAAUCCGUUGAGAUCGAGAGGAAUACCAAUGGCGAAGGCAGCUUGCUAGGCUAUAUGAGACGCUGAGGCACGAAAGCGUGGGGAGCGAACGGG
rnacentral:rRNA from 1 species